rnacentral:rRNA from 1 species
GCAAUGGGGGCUGUCUACACAUGCAGUCGAACGGUGAAGCCAAGCUUGCUUGGUGGAUCAGUGGCGAACGGGUGCCUUCACGUGAGCAACCUGCCCUGGACUCUGGGAUAAGCGCUCCCCACGGCGUCUAAUACUGGAUAUGAGCUCUCAUCGCAUGGUGGGGGUUGGAAAGAUUUUUUGGUCUGGGAUGGGCUCGCGGCCUAUCAGCUUGUUGGUGAGGUAAUGGCUCACCAAGGCGUCGACGGGUAGCCGGCCUGAGAGGGUGACCGGCCACACUGGGACUGAGACACGGCCCAGACUCCUACGGGAGGCAGCAGUGGGGAAUAUUGCACAAUGGGCGGAAGCCUGAUGCAGCAACGCCGCGUGAGGGAUGACGGCCUUCGGGUUGUAAACCUCUUUUAGCAGGGAAGAAGCGAGAGUGACGGUACCUGCAGAAAAAGCGCCGGCUAACUACGUGCCAGCAGCCGCGGUAAUACGUAGGGCGCAAGCGUUAUCCGGAAUUAUUGGGCGUAAAGAGCUCGUAGGCGGUUUGUCGCGUCUGCUGUGAAAUCCCGAGGCUCAACCUCGGGCCUGCAGUGGGUACGGGCAGACUAGAGUGCGGUAGGGGAGAUUGGAAUUCCUGGUGUAGCGGUGGAAUGCGCAGAUAUCAGGAGGAACACCGAUGGCGAAGGCAGAUCUCUGGGCCGUAACUGACGCUGAGGAGCGAAAGGGUGGGGAGCAAACAGGCUUAGAUACCCUGGUAGUCCACCCCGUAAACGUUGGGAACUAGUUGUGGGGACCAUUCCACGGUUUCCGUGACGCAGCUAACGCAUUAAGUUCCCCGCCUGGGGAGUACGGCCGCAAGGCUAAAACUCAAAGGAAUUGACGGGGACCCGCACAAGCGGCGGAGCAUGCGGAUUAAUUCGAUGCAACGCGAAGAACCUUACCAAGGCUUGACAUACACCAGAACACCGUAGAAAUACGGGACUCUUUGGACACUGGUGAACAGGUGGUGCAUGGUUGUCGUCAGCUCGUGUCGUGAGAUGUUGGGUUAAGUCCCGCAACGAGCGCAACCCUCGUUCUAUGUUGCCAGCACGUAAUGGUGGGAACUCAUGGGAUACUGCCGGGGUCAACUCGGAGGAAGGUGGGGAUGACGUCAAAUCAUCAUGCCCCCUAUGUCUUGGGCUUCACGCAUGCUACAAUGGCCGGUACAAAGGGCUGCAAUACCGUGAGGUGGAGCGAAUCCCAAAAAGCCGGUCCCAGUUCGGAUUGAGGUCUGCAACUCGACCUCAUGAAGUCGGAGUCGCUAGUAAUCGCAGAUCAGCAACGGUGCGGUGAAUACGUUCCCGGGUCUUGUACACACCGCCCGUCAAGUCACGAAAGUCGGUAACACCUGAAGCCGGUGGCCUAACCCUUGGGAGGGAGCCGUCGAAGGUGGAUUUGGGAAGG